rnacentral:rRNA from 1 species
GACGAACGCUGGCGGCGUGCUUAACACAUGCAAGUCGAACGGAAAGGCCCUGCUUGCAGGGUACUCGAGUGGCGAACGGGUGAGUAACACGUGGGUGAUCUGCCCUGCACUUCGGGAUAAGCCUGGGAAACUGGGUCUAAUACCGGAUAGGAGCCAUUUUUAGUGUGAUGGUUGGAAAGUUUUUUCGGUGUAGGAUGAGCUCGCGGCCUAUCAGCUUGUUGGUGGGGUAAUGGCCUACCAAGGCGGCGACGGGUAGCCGGCCUGAGAGGGUGGACGGCCACAUUGGGACUGAGAGACGGCCCAGACGCCUACGGGAGGCAGCAGUGGGGAAUAUUGCACAAUGGGCGCAAGCCUGAUGCAGCGACGCCGCGUGGGGGAGGACGGGCUUCGGGUUGUAAACUCCUUUCGCUAGGGACGAAGCUUUUUGUGACGGUACCUAGAUAAGAAGCACCGGCUAACUACGUG